rnacentral:rRNA from 1 species
GACGAACGCUGGCGGCGUGCUUAACACAUGCAAGUCGAACGGAAAGGCCCUGCUUUUGUGGGGUGCUCGAGUGGCGAACGGGUGAGUAACACGUGAGUAACCUGCCCUUGACUUUGGGAUAACUUCAGGAAACUGGGGCUAAUACCGGAUAGGAGCUCCUGCUGCAUGGUGGGGGUUGGAAAGUUUCGGCGGUUGGGGAUGGACUCGCGGCUUAUCAGCUUGUUGGUGGGGUAGUGGCUUACCAAGGCUUUGACGGGUAGCCGGCCUGAGAGGGUGACCGGCGACAUGGGGACUGAGAUACGGACCAGACUCCUAUGUGAGGCAGCAGGGGGGAAUAUUGCACAAUGGGCGGAAGCCUGAUGCAGCAACGCCGCGUGCGGGAUGACGGCCUUCGGGUGGUAAACCGCUUUCGCCGGUGACGAAGCGUGAGUGACGGUAAUGGGUAAAGAAGCACCGGCUAACUACGUG